CGCAUCUGUGCAUGCAGCAUAUCAAUAAGCGGAGGAAAAGAAACUAACAAGGAUUCCCCUAGUAACGGCGAGUGAAGCGGGAAGAGCUCAAAUUUGAAAUCUUAAAGGGUUUCCCUUUACGAAUUGUAGUUUAAAGAAGUGUUUUCUGUUGAGGUUUUGGUAAAAGUUCUUUGGAAUAGGACAUCAUAGAGGGUGAGAAUCCCGUAUUUGACCUUUACUUUCAACUUUGUGAUACACUUUCAAAGAGUCGGAUUGUUUGGGAAUGCAGUCCAAAAUGGGUGGUAAAUUUCAUCUAAAGCUAAAUAUUGGCGAGAGACCGAUAGCGAACAAGUACCGUGAGGGAAAGAUGAAAAGAACUUUGAAAAGAGAGUUAAACAGUACGUGAAAUUGUCAAAAGGGAAGCGUUUGACACCAGUGUUGUUUUUCUGAAAAUCAAUUAAAGAACUGUUUAUGCUAAGCUGUUUAGACUUUAUCAGCUAACUGUUUAGUUUUGAGCUUUUCUUUAAUGCACUUUUCAGUUAACAAGUCAACAUCAAUUUCUUUUGCUGUAAAAAAGCUUGAGGAAGGUGGCUUGAGAUUCGUCUUAAGUGUUUAUAGCCUCUUGCCUAUGCAGUCGGAGAGAUUGAGGUCUGCAGCGUAGAUCCUUCGGGGCUAAAUGCAUUUGUGCUAAGUUAUAGCAUUUUAUAGACAGCUUGUUGACUAUGAUUUGUCUUGUAGCUUACUCGCUUAUGUUAUUUUACCUACGCUUAGGAUGUUGAGUCAUCACACAUCUCU
rnacentral:rRNA from 1 species